AUGCAGCUGGCCAGCAAAAGCCCGCAAAGGUGUAAGCCCCCCUCUGUCCAUCGGCUGCUGAUAAACGUGACACUGGAGCCAGACCGGUCCUUACAACGGCCCCCCUUUUUUUCUGCGCUUGUUUAUUUCGAGUGGCUCUCAGUGUUAAAGCAGGCAGUGGAGGGGAGGAAAAUACGACGGACGUACCGAGGGAAGAGACGGACACGUGACGCAGACGUCACUGACGGUGGAGUUGGCGUGAGAGCUCGAGCUCCGCCGUGCAGAGAGCAGAAGUGAGUCAGACAUCCCGUCCUGACUUUGACCCAGGGAGGGUGCUUGUGGGGGGGUCGUGGUCAUGUUUCUAGAUGGGGGGGGAAGCAUCCUCUGUCUCUGUUAAACGUGAUGUUACAGCAGCUCACACCUGUCCCCUUUCCCAGGUGACCUCUCUUAAAGACAUAGUACAAACAAUAAGUCCCCCCCCCCCCACCCCAGCCUUACCCAUAAGUAUCCUACUGUGCACAUACACUAAUAUAGGCUACACGAUUAUUUAAAAAUACAUGAAAUACACAAUAAUGAUCACUAUGGAUUGGACUUUACUAUUUCGCCCUUGUUGCCUCCAAGUUCACAUCAAGCACCAUAGAUGGCAGCUUCAUUGUAUUUUGCACACACACACACACACACACACACACACACACACACACAGCAAAAGUCUACUGCAAUUUGAUUUUCUGUGUGUCCGCUUGGUAAUUUCAUGAAACGCAACUUUAUUUAGAGACAUGCAUAAUGUGACUACAGUAUUUAACUCUAAAAAAUCAAGGUGUGAGGACCAGAUUUUCAUACGAGGCCCCAACUGUGUAAGAAUGUAGUAUCCAGUGGAUAUUGUGCUUUAGAGAUGCAAAUUCCCUUACAAAUUUGCAACUAAUCAAACUACAAUAAUAACAAAUAAAAAAAAAGGAAAAAGGCUGACACACCUCAACCUGAGGCCCUUUUGGGGAACCGGGGCAGUUGCCUGCUUCGCUCGGCUGGUAAUGCAGCUUUGCACAGACACAUUUAAAAUCCUUAUGCAUAGCAGUAGAAAAUAUGUAUAACUUUCACUGUACUUAAUGGUGUACAAGUAAUGUGUCUGUGAAUUAAAGCUGAAAUUAAGCUGAAUUGCUUUGAAAUUGAAUUGAAAUUGCUAUUUUAAACAGCUUUUCUAUUUAAUUUAUCAAUGUUUUACAUUUUAUUGUUUCUUUUGUAUUGAUUUUUAGUCAGUUGUAUUUAUUGUUUUAUAUUUAUUUGUGUUGUUUCAGUUUUACUGUGUGGAGCACUUGUUUGUAUGAAAGAUGCUAUAUAAAUAAAGCUGACUGACUUGAAUUUAGAGUCAAAUUUACUUUGUUGUUUCCUGUGAAAGGGCUAAUAUGUCCUCCUGACCAUAUCCAUUUGUGUAGCCCCUGUUUCCACUAUUAGGUACACCUACUAAUCUCUAAUGUUUAGUUUUCCAUCAUUGAUAUUAAUGGUGGCUCAAAUAAACAUCUCCCAGUAUAGCAGCACAAAAUACAACCCUCCAAAUUGACCAUAAAGUUGAGCACCUCUCUAAAACAGCUUAUAAAAGAAACCCUGAACAUUAAGGUUUAGUUUUGCAGGGCUGUUGUAGUGUUGAGUGUCUUAGACUCAAUUGUGCACCUCCUCAAAAAAGUGAAUGAAAAAGUUACUCAGUUACAGUAGCACAUGUGGUUAUUUACUACCAUAGCAGAAAAAAUCUUUUCACAUAUUAGUUACAGCAGGUUAACUGUACACUUACAGUGUUG
ensembl:lncRNA